rnacentral:lncRNA from 1 species
GAUGCAACUGUUGAACAAUAUGCAAUAUUCUAACACCACAGUAUUGAUGAAUUUCAAAGAAUCUGAAUCUCUCUCUUUCUGUCACUCUUUCUCUCUGAGAUGUUGAAUAUUUCCAUUCUGUACACACGUGCGUAUGAUUUUAUUCUGAGAAAAGUACUUUUAAUUCUAUACAUCUUACUCCACCUUUCUGUCAGGAUUAGGAAUUGGACCUUUUAGUAAUAUGAUGCCAGUCCCGUCUUGAUUUCCCUUUCCCCUCGUUACCACCUUAAAACCAAGGAAGAGCAACACCAGUGAUACUUUACAAGGGUUCUGAGAUUAGUGGAAGGAAGGGAGCAAAUGAUCUAUAGAUCAAGUAUUUGGCCUAAAUGCUUGCAACAAAGAGGAGUUUGUUAGUCCUCAAGACCAGGUUGUAAGAGAUAAACUGGGCAAUGAAUUGUCUACUCAGCAAUGUAGCAUAAGCAAAGUUAUGGUAGCAGUUUAUUAUAUUUACUUCUUUGACGUUUUGCACCCAAAAUCUUAAUCCUUCUUACUGCAGGCACAAGGCUUGAAAUUAUGUAGAAGGGAGUUGCUUACACUAACCCCAUGCUCAACCGGUACUUAAUUUAUCAACCUCAAAAGAAUGAAAAGCAAAGUUGGCCUAAGUAGAAUUUGAACUCAGAAUGUAAAGACAGACAAAAUGCUUUUAAGCAUUCUGUCCAGCAUGCUAAUGAUUUUUGCCAGCUUACCAUCUUAAAUAUGACCCCCGCCCCUGUAAUGCUUGCCUUUCCUCAAGCAAUAAGUUUAUUAUCUUAGACUUUCAUGUGUAAAAAUCGUUUGUGUCAGAAUUUCAAAUGUUGUUUAAAACAUGUCUAGUCUUGAUGUGAAAUUCAUAUUAUAAGUACUGCCCAAGUUCUUAAACCAACAAGAGCAAAAUAGUCAGGAACUAGUCAUUUUACCUUUGUUAAUUUCUACCUAGUAACAUUUUGUUAAUGACAGAUUAUAGUUUAGUAUGUAACUAAUGUUACACAUGGAUUAGUUAUAAAUAACUAUUAUUAAUUCUGUUUUUACCAGCUAGUUCCGAUCAGAAACCAAUCUAUAACAUUUUUUUAUGAAGAAUUGAAGUGCAUCUCCAUUUAAGAUGGCUUAGAUAUGUAUUUUUACAUUUCUAAUCUUUUUAGUUUUCAAACUGUCUUGUAUAUGUGAGAGAUCAUUUUUCAUAAAAGAAUGAUUAUUUGAACAAUUUGCAUAUUGUUGGAUGAGUUGCUUUUGCAAAUGGAUAUUCUUUCUAUUUUUGACCAGUUAACUGUAAUGUAUGUGAGGAAUUAGCUAGAUCCGAAUAGUCUAUGUAAAGUAGUUGUGUGUGUGUGUGUUUUUGCAGUCACAUAAAAUAGUUUGACUGCAGAUGUCAUUUGCUGUACAAUUUGUUAAGCUUACAGUUGUCUUUUUAAAAGAAAAUAUAUCGUUAUUGCAGAUAUAUCUUUAAAAAUGAGCUAACAGAAACUGCCAAAUGACAAUCAAAAUGAGUACUUUGUGAGAAGGGGAGAUAAUCUUGAGAAUCAAAUUCUCUAAUGUUGACAUGCCAUAAUGUAAAAGACAAGAUUAUUGUCUGGAGAAAAGAGGACAGUUGUGAUUAUUUUUCUAUCCUAAUAACCAUCAGUAUGACAAGUAUCUUACCUUUUCUCCAAUAGCCAAGAGACGUGGACAUAUACAAAAAAAGCAGAACAUCUCUAUAUUGUUCAAGCACAUGCACUAGCCAUCCUGAGUUGUUUUUCUUAGCUCAUUCUUGUUUAAAAUUAUGUAUAUUAACAUAAGCCGUAAAUGUGUACUGCUCUUUUUUUUUUUUUUUUUUUUUUUUUAUGCUGCUGGAGCUAGUGCAGGACACAGUUGUUGUGCUGAUGAUGUUUACAGAAGCAGAAACAUGUUCACAGUUGUUGUCUCCCGACAAACUUGUCCUUUUCCUUUGUGGAUUUUCAACAUUGGAGAUUGAUUCUUGAGAUUAUCUCCUCUUUUCUUAUGGAGUUGGCCUUAAUUGCCAUUUAAGAAUUAUGACACAUUCUUUAAAAGCAGAGAUAAUUUAAAAUAAAUAAAUUGGUGUAUAUUUGAUAUACCUGUAUUUAUCUAUGCACACACAUAUCUAUAUACAUACACAUGAAGGCAUAUGCACAUAUACAUCUGUGUAUGUGUAUCUGUGUGGAUAUCAUUUUUUGUUUUAGGUUGUAGUUUUGUGUAGCUUUAUGUAAAUACUUCGUUUAGGAAAGUCCAAGUUUCUUAUUUGUGCCACACAGAUCGUGUUUUCUUACUGAAGUUAUAAAUUUUUUUCUAACCUGAUUCUUUUUGUAACAUGAUUUUUGUCCAUCUGCUGUGACUAGGUUAUUCAUCAUCCAUCACAGCAGGAUGCACUUCAAACUUUUCAAAUUGAAGCCAUAAAGCUAGCAAUUAAGUCAAUAUGAUUGUUGUUGGCAUUCAAAGCAAGACUAUUGAAGUUUUAACUGAAGUUAAAAAAAAAAAUGAAAAAUCACAUUUGCAACAGCUUUAAGGCAUUAUUUGUAGUGUUUGUAGUUUUCAACCUACUGAUAGAUGAUAUUAAUCCACUUAUAACUUGGAAAGCUACAGAUAUUAUUGGAGAAGAGAAGACAGCAUAUUGAGCAAUGAGGCAUAGACAAUAUCAUCGAUCCUUGUGAUACUCAAAAUAACCUAAAGUUGAAAUAUAAAAUAAAAAUAUCAGAGCAGUAGGAAAUCUGCUGUUAAGUAAGUCUGGCUGUAUCUUAAGGAUAAAUGGAAGAAUAG